rnacentral:rRNA from 1 species
AUUGAACGCUGGCGGCAUGCUUUACACAUGCAAGUCGAACGGUAACAGGCCUUGGGUGCUGGCGAGUGGCGAACGGGUGAGUAAUGCAUCGGGACGUACCCAGAGGUGGGGGAUAACGCAGCGAAAGCUGUGCUAAUACCGCAUGUGAUCUGAGGAUGAAAGCGGGGGACCGAGCAGCAAUGUUUGGCCUCGCGCCUUUGGAGCGGCCGAUGUCGGAUUAGCUAGUUGGUGGGGUAAAGGCCUACCAAGGCGACGAUCCGUAGCUGGUCUGAGAGGACGACCAGCCACACUGGGACUGAGACACGGCCCAGACUCCUACGGGAGGCAGCAGUGGGGAAUUUUGGACAAUGGGCGCAAGCCUGAUCCAGCAAUGCCGCGUGCGGGAAGAAGGCCUUCGGGUUGUAAACCGCUUUUGGCAGGAACGAAACGGUGUCCGCUAAUACCGGGCGCUAAUGACGGUACCUGCAGAAUAAGCACCGGCUAACUACGUG